rnacentral:rRNA from 1 species
CCUACGGGUGACAGCAGUAAGGGAUAUUGGUCAAUGGGGGAAACCCUGAACCAGCAACGCCGCGUGAGGGAAGACGGUUUUCGUAUUGUACACCUCUGUCCUCUGUGACGAUGAUGACGGUAGCAGAGGAGGAAGCUCCGGCUAACUACGUGCCAGCAGCCGCGGUAAUACGUAGGGAGCGAGCGUUGUCCGGAUGUACUGGGUGUAAAGGGUGCGUAGGCGGCUUGGCAAGUCAGUAGUGAAAUCCAUGGGCUUAACCCAUGAACUGCUAUUGAAACUGUCGAGCUUGAGUGAAGUAGAGGUAGGCGGAAGUCCCGGUGUAGCGGUGAAAUGCAUAGAUAUCACGAAGAACACCGAUUGCGAAGGCAGCAUACCGGCGCUCAACUGACGCUCAUGCACGAAAGUGUGGGUAUCGAACAGGAUUAGAUACCCCUGUAGUC